UUCUGCCCAAGCGGGGGAAGGAUGAGAAGCUUCGACCAAGGUUCGACUCGAGCGCCAACGAGAGAGCGUGGCCGCAGGCAACGACCCGAAGGGCGAAGCGCG
rnacentral:sRNA from 1 species